AGCGUCCAAAAAAUUAUUAAAAAAAAAAAAAAAAAAACCGCCUCUUCAAGUUCCUAAAAAUUUCAAAAACCCGCUUCUAUGUUCUAACCCUAAGAGCUAACUCCCUUCUCCCUCUCCUUUUCCCUCUCACGCACACAGUAACUUGGUCUAAUCCCUAACAGCAACUCCCUUCUCCGGCGUCCCAGAGCAGAUCUAUCCCCCUUGUACCGGCGGUCCUGUAGCAGUUCCAUUCCAUUAAAACCGGCGGCCUGUAGCAGUCUCCUCCGUACCCGCAGCAGCGCGCCAUAGCAGUUCCGAUCCCCUCCAUUGAAACCAGCGGUCCUGUAGCUGCAGGUUUCAUCACCGCUACUAGCUUGGUACCUACAGUUACCAAGAAAUAUGAUCCCAAAGCUUUACCUCUUGAUAAGAGGUUUAUGUCUCGAACCUUCAACACCUCAACUAAUACUCCAACACAAGAUACCGCUACUAGCUUGGUACCUACAGUUACCAAGAAAUAUGAUCCCAAAGCUUUACUACUUGAUAAGAGGUUUAUGUCUCGAACCUUCAAGACCUCAACUAAUACUCCAGCACAAGAUCCCGCUACUAGCUUGGUACCUACAGUUACCAAAAAACAUGAUCCCAAAGCUUUACCUCUUAAUAAGAGGUUUAUGUCUCGAACCUUUAAUACCUCAACUAAUAUAGAUGUUCAUUGGAAAGAAAAUAUAGAUGUGGAUCCUGAUGAGGUUGUCCAAGUAGAAGGUAUACAUACUUGAAUGAUCAUAAUAUGCAUAUUUGAUACAAAUUGUGUAUUUAUUAUUAACUGUUUUUUUGAUUGAGCAAAGACAACAGAGAAUGAGCCUCCCAAAUUAGAAAUAAUAGAGGGGACUAUAGUUGCUAAGCAUGUUUGGUGCUUACCAUCAGGAAGAAGGAUCAUUGUUCAUUUUAAUGAAUAUACUCAACCAAUUUGAAGGGGGGACUUGUACUUGUUCAUUUUCUGUCUGAAUUGUCAAAAGAUGGAACCUUUUGUCCACUUGGAGCACAAAAUUGGAAGCGUGUUGAUAAUCAUUACAAGCAAAGGAUCAUUAAAACGGUUUGGGUAUGCAUUAAACAUUCUUUAUUAUUAUAAUUUGAUAUUACUACAGUUGGAUGAAGUAGAUAUGAUAAUGACUUAUAUAAAGUUUUAUAUAUUCAUGGGGAGUUUGGUAAUUGAGGUAAUCUCAUAUUUGAAAAUAAUUGUUGGCCUUGAAUCACAAACGGGUAGUAUGUAUUUUGGCUAAAGUUUGUGCAUUUUGUUUGAUUUGUUGUAGAUUUUUGCAGCUGAUGUUCAUGUUAUAACCAACAAAUCAUCUUUUGACAAACUUUUAACUUUUAAAUUUUGCUCUCUUAAACAUCGAUAAAUAUAUGUGUAUGUGAAUGUUGAUCAAAUUAGGCACCUAUGUUGUUUGGACUUUUUUGACCAAGCUACAACUUAAGGUCAAAGCUACAUCAGCGAAUGUAUGUGCGUAUAUGAAUAUCAAAUGCUAAUACUUUUGUGGAUAUGAUUGAUUUAGUAUGAUAUUCGUUAGUAAUUAUGUAUCUUUGAUGAAUUUAAUGUAGAAUGGAAAAUAAAUACAUUUUCAACGCUUGUAAAUGUCAAAAGCAUAUAUCUAGAUAUCAAGGGCUUUAAAAGGUUUUAUUUUCAUUUAGACAUAUAAAAGCGCCUAAAAUAUUAAGCACUAUCCACAUGAAAAAGGGUCUAAAAAAAUCAGCAUUUCUACACAAAAAAGCGUCUAAAAACGUGAAAUUGUGGUAUGGAUGUAAGGCGGGAAAUCUUUUUCCCCACAGUAAAAAGCGUCAGAAAAUAGAUAUAACAUCCACUGGAAAAAGAAUUGAGAAAAAAGCAUCUAAAAUUUGUAACUGUAGUUUUUUAGAUGCUUCGUCAA